rnacentral:tRNA from 1 species
GGGCGGGUGUCGGAACAGGCAGACGAGGCGGACUUAAAAUCCGCUGGCGCCGACGCGCCGUGUGGGUUCGACCCCCACCCCGCCCACCA